rnacentral:rRNA from 1 species
GUGGGGAAUAUUGGACAAUGGGCGCAAGCCUGAUCCAGCCAUGCCGCGUGAGUGAUGAAGGCCUUAGGGUUGUAAAGCUCUUUCAGUGGGGACGAUAAUGACGGUACCCACAGAAGAAGCCCCGGCUAACUUCGUGCCAGCAGCCGCGGUAAUACGAAGGGGGCUAGCGUUGUUCGGAUUUACUGGGCGUAAAGCGCACGCAGGCGGAUCGUUAAGUCGGGGGUGAAAUCCUGGAGCUCAACUCCAGAACUGCCUUCGAUACUGGCGAUCUUGAGUCCGGAAGAGGUGAGUGGAACUCCUAGUGUAGAGGUGGAAUUCGUAGAUAUUAGGAAGAACACCAGUGGCGAAGGCGGCUCACUGGUCCGGUACUGACGCUGAGGUGCGAAAGCGUGGGGAGCAAACAGGAUUAGAAACCCCUGGUAGUCC